AUAUAAUAGAAAAAAAAAAAAAAAAACAAUAUGGCUAGUUGCUGAUUAUUGCAAAGGCCAAUCGUAAUUUUGAUUGCACAGCUAAGACUCGGAUUUAUUUAUUAAAACAGCAGGAAUACUUUGUCAUCAUGGUAACUAAAAGCGAAUAUAACGAAGAUCUUUUUGAAUACAUUAAAGUAAGUGAAGAUGAAGAUGACGCCAACUCAGUAGAAAUACCUUGCGAACUUGAUGGAACCCUACUGCUUUCAACUCUGGUUGCUCAGUUUCCGGGAGCCUGUGGAUUGAAAUAUAGACAUCUUGAUAGUAAGUCAAUUCGUGGCAUUCGUUUAAGUGAAGGCAAAUUGCAUCCCCCAAGCGAAGUGGGUUGGGGUAAAAAUCUUUAUGUUUGUGUAUUUCCCAAAGAAAACAAACGUAAAAUGGAAGAUGUGUCUCCUGAAAACUCAGCUGCUAAAACAAAACGUUUAGAAAAAAAACUUACAUGCUCUGAUCUUAUAUGUCUUGGACUGCCUUGGAAAUCAACAGAAGAGUCGAUUAAACAAUACUUUGAACAAUUCGGAGAAGUGGUAAUGGUUCAACUGAAGAAAGACAAAAAUGGAUCUUUUAAAGGGUUUGGUUUCAUACGAUUUGCAACAUACGCAUCCCAGAUGAGAGCUCUGGCACAGAGGCACAACAUAGACGGGCGCUGGGUAGACGUGCGCAUCCCGAAUUCUAAAGAAGGUGUAGUCCCACAGAUGCCUUGCAAAGUGUUUGUUGGAAGAUGUACUGAGGACAUGACUGCUGAUGAUCUGCGAGAAUAUUUCUCUAAGUUUGGGGAAGUGACAGAUGUUUUUGUACCCAGGCCUUUUAGGGCUUUUGGUUUUGUCACAUUUCUGGAUCCUGAAGUGGCUCAGAGUUUGUGCGGUGAAGAUCAUGUUAUUAAAGGUGCUUCAGUGUCAGUUUCAAGCGCUGCACCAAAAAUUAGAAGCAAAACAAAUCAAAACUGGAAAGAUGAGUCAUACAAUUCCAACAAUUGGGAAGGAAACAGGAGCGGUCCAUCUGGAGGAUCAAGCAGUAGUGGAGGAAACAGUAAUAUUGAUUCUCUUAAUAUGCAAAAUUUGGGCAUCAAUCCUAAUGGGGGGCCACCACCUAAUUUUAAUUUACCAAUAAGUCUUGUUGCUGCUGCACUUAAUCAAGCCGGUUGGGGUGGAUUUUUAGGUGGGCAUGGUGGUAACUCAGGUCCGAACAACUGGCAGGGAGGUCCACCACCAGGCAAUGCAGGCAAGAACUGGAAUGGGAAUCAAAAUUGGGGACAAAAUGGUCCACCACCAUCUUGGAAUCAAGGUAACCAAGGCUGGAGUGGAGGCGGAGGAAAAGGAGGCAACUGGAACCAAGGCAAUUGGUCAAAUGGCCAAGGAAACUGGAAUGGUAAUGGCAGUGGUGGUAGUGGCUCCGGCAAUGGGUGGAACAACAACAAACCUCCAUCGUGAGGUGAGCUCACCAUGUAUCCACUUAUAACAGAGGUUUUAUCAUGAAGAGAAGGUAAAAAAAAACUAAGAAGGCAUUGAACUGCAGGAAGAAAUGCUGAGAAGUUAAGUAUGCUUAUAUCACAAUAUUGAUAAUUAUGCAAUGGAUUUCUCAAAAUAUUCUACUUUCUCACACAGGAUCAUUUAGGUGAUAUGCAUUUUUUGGCCUGCUAUGAGGUACCUAUUUGGCUGAGUAAAAUAAUACUGAAUAUAACAGAUGUGUAUCAACAAUCAAAGUAUAACACAAGCCGGCGCGGCGAGCGAAAGCGAUACUUGAAGGACAUCGUGGGGUUUUACUGUACUACUACUAUUUGGUAUGAGAUCGACAGAAUUUGCCUUCAGUUACUAAAAUUGGAUUAAAAAAAUUCAAGACGUUUAUGAUUGGAUUUUAAAUAAAUACUAAAAUAAUUAA